rnacentral:rRNA from 1 species
UACGUAGGGUGCGAGCGUUAAUCGGAAUUACUGGGCGUAAAGCGUGCGCAGGCGGUUUUGUAAGCCAGAUGUGAAAUCCCCGGGCUUAACCUGGGAAUGGCAUUUGGGACUGCAAGGCUCGAGUGCGGCAGAGGAGACUGGAAUUCCUAGUGUAGCAGUGAAAUGCGUAGAUAUCAGGAGGAACACCGAUGGCGAAGGCAGGUCUCUGGGCUGACACUGACGCUCAUGCGCGAAAGCGUGGGGAGCAAACAGG